rnacentral:rRNA from 1 species
GGGUUGUGAGGUUAAGCGACUAAGCGUACACGGUGGAUGCCCUGGCAGUCAGAGGCGAUGAAGGACGUGCUAAUCUGCGAAAAGCGUCGGUAAGGUGAUAUGAACCGUUACAGCCGGCGAUGUCCGAAUGGGGAAACCCAGUGCAAUUCGUUGCACUAUCGUUAACUGAAUACAUAGGUUAACGAGGCGAACCGGGGGAACUGAAACAUCUAAGUACCCCGAGGAAAAGAAAUCAACCGAGAUUCCCCCAGUAGCGGCGAGCGAACGGGGAGCAGCCCAGAGUCUGAAUCAGCUUGUGUGUUAGUGGAACGGUCUGGAAAGUCCGACGGUACAGGGUGAUAGUCCCGUACACCAAAAUGCACAGGUUGUGAACUCGAAGAGUAGGGCGGGACACGUGGUAUCCUGUCUGAAUAUGGGGGGACCAUCCUCCAAGGCUAAAUACUCCUGACUGACCGAUAGUGAACCAGUACCGUGAGGGAAAGGCGAAAAGAACCCCGGCGAGGGGAGUGAAAAAGAACCUGAAACCGUGUACGUACAAGCGGUGGGAGCACCUUCGGGUGUGACUGCGUACCUUUGUAUAAUGGGUCAGCGACUUAUAUUCUGUAGCAAGGUUAACCGUAUGGGGAGCCGCAGGGAAACCGAGUCUUAACUGGGCGUUAAGUUGCAGGGUAUAGACCCGAAACCCGGUGAUCUAGCCAUGGGCAGGUUGAAGGUUGGGUAACACUAACUGGAGGACCGAACCGACUAAUGUUGAAAAAUUAGCGGAUGACUUGUGGCUGGGGGUGAAAGGCCAAUCAAACCGGGAGAUAGCUGGUUCUCCCGAAAGCUAUUUAGGUAGCGCCUCGUGAAUUCAUCUUCGGGGGUAGAGCACUGUUUCGGCUAGGGGGUCAUCCCGACUUACCAACCCGAUGCAAACUACGAAUACCGAAGAAUGUUAUCACGGGAGACACACGGCGGGUGCUAACGUCCGUCGUGAAGAGGGAAACAACCCAGACCGCCAGCUAAGGUCCCAAAGUCAUGGUUAAGUGGGAAACGAUGUGGGAAGGCACAGACAGCCGGGAUGUUGGCUUAAAAGCAGCCAUCAUUUAAAGAAAGCGUAAUAGCUCACUGGUCGAGUCGGCCUGCGCGGAAGAUGUAACGGGGCUAAACCAUGCACCGAAGCUGCGGCAGCGACACUAUGUGUUGUUGGGUAGGGGAGCGUUCUGUAAGCCUGCGAAGGUGACCUGUGAGGGUUGCUGGAGGUAUCAGAAGUGCGAAUGCUGACAUAAGUAACGAUAAAGCGGGUGAAAAGCCCGCUCGCCGGAAGACCAAGGGUUCCUGUCCAACGUUAAUCGGGGCAGGGUGAGUCGACCCCUAAGGCGAGGCCGAAAGGCGUAGUCGAUGGGAAACAGGUUAAUAUUCCUGUACUUGGUGUUACUGCGAAGGGGGGACGGAGAAGGCUAUGUUAGCCGGGCGACGGUUGUCCCGGUUUAAGCAUGUAGGCUGGUUGUCCAGGCAAAUCCGGAUAAUCAAGGCUGAGGUGUGAUGACGAGGCACUACGGUGCUGAAGUAACAAAUGCCCUGCUUCCAGGAAAAGCCUCUAAGCAUCAGGUAACAUCAAAUCGUACCCCAAACCGACACAGGUGGUCAGGUAGAGAAUACCAAGGCGCUUGAGAGAACUCGGGUGAAGGAACUAGGCAAAAUGGUGCCGUAACUUCGGGAGAAGGCACGCUGGUGUGUAGGUGAAGUCCCUGCGGAUGGAGCUGAGACCAGUCGAAGAUACCAGCUGGCUGCAACUGUUUAUUAAAAACACAGCACUGUGCAAACACGAAAGUGGACGUAUACGGUGUGACGCCUGCCCGGUGCCGGAAGGUUAAUUGAUGGGGUUAUCCGUAAGGAGAAGCUCUUGAUCGAAGCCCCGGUAAACGGCGGCCGUAACUAUAACGGUCCUAAGGUAGCGAAAUUCCUUGUCGGGUAAGUUCCGACCUGCACGAAUGGCGUAAUGAUGGCGAGGCUGUCUCCACCCGAGACUCAGUGAAAUUGAACUCGCUGUGAAGAUGCAGUGUACCCGCGGCAAGACGGAAAGACCCCGUGAACCUUUACUAUAGCUUGACACUGAACAUUGAGCCUUGAUGUGUAGGAUAGGUGGGAGGCUUUGAAGCGUGGACGCCAGUCUGCGUGGAGCCAACCUUGAAAUACCACCCUUUAAUGUUUGAUGUUCUAACGUUGGCCCCUGACCGGGGUUGCGGACAGUGUCUGGUGGGUAGUUUGACUGGGGCGGUCUCCUCCCAAAGCGUAACGGAGGAGCACGAAGGUUAGCUAAUCCUGGUCGGACAUCAGGAGUUAGUGCAAUGGCAUAAGCUAGCUUGACUGCGAGCGUGACGGCGCGAGCAGGUGCGAAAGCAGGUCAUAGUGAUCCGGUGGUUCUGAAUGGAAGGGCCAUCGCUCAACGGAUAAAAGGUACUCGGGGAUAACAGGCUGAUACCGCCCAAGAGUUCAUAUCGACGGCGGUGUUUGGCACCUCGAUGUCGGCUCAUCACAUCCUGGGGCUGAAGUAGGUCCCAAGGGUAUGGCUGUUCGCCAUUUAAAGUGGUACGCGAGCUGGGUUUAGAACGUCGUGAGACAGUUCGGUCCCUAUCUGCCGUGGGCGCUGGAGAAUUGAGGGGGGCUGCUCCUAGUACGAGAGGACCGGAGUGGACGCAUCACUGGUGUUCGGGUUGUCAUGCCAAUGGCACUGCCCGGUAGCUAAAUGCGGAAGAGAUAAGUGCUGAAAGCAUCUAAGCACGAAACUUGCCCCGAGAUGAGUUCUCCCUGAGACUUUAAGUCUCCUGAAGGAACGUUAAAGACGAUGACGUUGAUAGGCCGGGUGUGUAAGCGCAGCGAUGCGUUGAGCUAACCGGUACUAAUGAACCGUGAGGCUUAACCUUACAACGCCGAAG